rnacentral:rRNA from 1 species
UCGAGAAUCUUUCGCAAUGGGCGCAAGCCUGACGAAGCGACGCCGUGUGAGCGAAGAAGGCCUUCGGGUUGUAAAGCUCUUUCGCUAGGGAACAAGAGAUAUGGGACAAUACCCCAUAAAUUUGAUGGUACUUGGUAAAGAAGCACCGGCUAACCCCGUGCCAGCAGCUGCGGUAAUACGGAGGGUGCAAGCAUUGAUCGGAUUUACUGGGCGUAAAGGGCGCGUAGGCGGCAAUUCAAGUCAUCUGUGAAAUCUCCGGGCUUAACUCGGAACGGUCAGAUGAUACUGCUUUGCUAGAGUGCAGAAGGGGCAAUCGGAAUUCUUGGUGUAGCGGUGAAAUGCGUAGAUAUCAAGAGGAACACCUGAGGUGAAGACGGGUUGCUGGGCUGACACUGACGCUGAGGCGCGAAAGCCAGGGGAGCAAACGGGAUUAGAUACCCUAGUAGUCCCUGAGCGGGCUGGCAAGGCGCAU